GGAGCAGCAGCUGCAUUUUCUCCUGAAAUUGCUUCUGAAAAUGACCAGACACUUCACUGGGAGAGUGACGACAAUUUGGGCCCUGGGAGCCGGAGCCGAGGCGGAGAGCGGGGGCGAUCGGGCGCGGGUCACCACCCACUCCCCGCCAGACGAGAUCUUCUGAUUCUGAGAAGUCAAGCCCGACGUAGUCACCACGGAACGGGAUAGGCACACUGCGGACACGUGAGAGGCACACCAUGUGAACCAGCCUUCCUGAGGGCUCUGCUCUUGUACCACCUCCUACUUUAGAGAUCCAGAGACAUGGCCCAGGAUCAACGCCAUCAGGACUACAGCGCGGCACGCGCGUGCACACGUGCGCUGGGUCAGAGACGUCAAGGAGGGCACAGCUCGGUGUCUCCAGUCCUCCCAAGUUUACCAAGUGCCGUGUGACAGAAACGACUACGGCAUCUGGAGGCCCUCACCUCUGGGGGAGUUUCCCACUGUGGUGAGGUCAUUGAAACAGAAAGAGGACGAGGUGAGGACCAAGUAGCGAAGAGCAGAGCGUCUGGGCGGUGGGGUGACCUUGCGCCAACCCGGACGCUUGUUGCCAAAGUCCCGACUGUUGAUGUUUUGUCUAAGCUCCACCCCACACCUACUGAGCAAUAGCCAGGUCUGCCCCGCCCCAGAGAUCUGGCCCACUAUAAGAGGGCUACUUGCCCCUCCUCUCCCUCUUUGCUCUCCCGCUCUCCCACACUCUCUCACCUCUCUGCCCAUGGGGCUCCUCCCCCCCCCACGUGGUCAUGGCCGGCCUCCACUCCUCUACUCUCUCUCUCUACCACUAACUCCCAUCCCCUACUCUGAGUAAACUCUA